rnacentral:rRNA from 1 species
GAUGAACGCUGGCGGCGUGCCUAAUACAUGCAAGUCGAGCGAACAGACGAGGAGCUUGCUCCUCUGACGUUAGCGGCGGACGGGUGAGUAACACGUGGAUAACCUACCUAUAAGACUGGGAUAACUUCGGGAAACCGGAGCUAAUACCGGAUAAUAUAUUGAACCGCAUGGUUCAAUAGUGAAAGACGGUUUUGCUGUCACUUGUGGAUGGGUUCGCGCCGUAUUAGCUAGUUGGUAGGGUAACGGCUUACCAAGGCGACGACGGGUAGCCGGCCUGAGAGGGUGACCGGCCAAAGUGGGACGGAGAUACGGGCCAGACUGCGACGGGAGGCAGCAGUGGGGAAUAUUGCACAAUGGGCGGAAGCAUGAUGCAGCAACGCAGCGUGCGGGAUGACGGCCUUCGGGUUGUAAACCGCUUUCGCCUGUGACGAAGCGUGAGUGACGGUAAUGGGUAAAGAAGCACCGGCUAACUACGUG